rnacentral:rRNA from 1 species
UACGGGGGGGGCAAGCGUUGUUCGGAAUUACUGGGCGUAAAGGGCUCGUAGGCGGCCAACUAAGUCGGAUGUGAAAUCCCCAGGCUUAACCUGGGAACUGCAUCCGAUACUGGAUGCUUGAAUCCGGGAGAGGGAUGCAGAAUUCCAGGUGUAGCGGUGAAAAUGCGUAGAUAUCUGGAGGAAUACCGGUGGCGAAGGCGGCAUCCUGGACCGGCAUUGACGCUGAUGGAGCAAAAGCUAGGGGGAGCAAACGGG